rnacentral:tRNA from 2 species
GACUUGGUAGCUCAGCUGGUAGAGCAUUUCACUUUUAAUGAAGGGGUCCUGGGUUCGAAUCCCAGCCAGGUCACAA